ACUACGGGAGGCAGCAGUGGGGAAUAUUGGGCAAUGGGCGCAAGCCUGACCCAGCAACGCCGCGUGAAGGAAGAAGGCCCUCGGGUUGUAAACUUCUUUUAUCAAGGACGAAACAAAUGACGGUACUUGAUGAAUAAGCCACGGCUAACUACGUGCCAGCAGCCGCGGUAAUCCGUAGGUGGCAAGCGUUAUCCGGAUUUACUGGGUGUAAAGGGCGGGUAGGCUGGACUGCAAGGCAGAUGUGAAAACCAUGGACACAACCCAUGGCCUGCAUUUGAAACUGUAGUUCUUGAGUGGUGGAGAGGCAGGCGGAAUGCCGGGUGUAGCGGUGAAAUGCGUAGAUAUACGGAGGAACACCAGUGGCGAAGGCGGCUUACUGGACUGUAACUGACGUUGAGGCUCGAAAGCGUGGGGAGCGAACAGGAUUAGAUACCCUGGUAGUC
rnacentral:rRNA from 1 species